UACGGAGGGUGCAAGCGUUAUCCGGAUUCACUGGGUUUAAAGGGUGCGUAGGCGGGCUUGUAAGUCAGUGGUGAAAGCCCGGGGCUUAACUCCGGAACUGCCGUUGAUACUGCAAGUCUUGAGUGCACUUGAGGUGGGCGGAAUACAUCAUGUAGUGGUGAAAUACUUAGAUAUGAUGUAGAACACCGAUUGCGAAGGCAGCUCACUAAAUUGCAACUGACGCUGAAGGCACGAAAGCGUGGGGAUCAAAC
rnacentral:rRNA from 1 species